rnacentral:miRNA from 1 species
UAAUACUGUCAGGUAACGAUGCCA